GGUAGUGAUGGUGAAUUGAGCAGAUGAAAGACAGAGAGAGAGAGAGAUGCGGUAGGGGUGGUGGCACACUUAGAAUACGAAAACACUAAAGAAAGCCGAAUGAAAGGAAAAAAAAAAAAAAUCUUGGCAAAUUAGGUGUGAAAUGAUUAGGGGGUGGGGAUAGGAGGAGGAGCAGAAAAGGAAAGGUGUGUGUGAAUACAUACAUACAUAUACACACUCACUUAUUUAUUUUGGUGAGUCUCUUGCUACUCGUGGGUACACAAGGUCUUCAAGUAAGUGUUUUUGAGUUGUAACUUGCCUGAUGACCCCCCCCCCCUCCCGUGUACCCAAACAUGAAACUCAGGGUAGCAAGAGAGUGUCACGCAUAAAAUAAAAUGUUAUUAAUCUCUUACUAUGGUAUCAAGUACUUUUUCUCCUGACAGUCAACACUAAGCGGUUGUGUGUGUGUGUUGUGAGAAUCUACAUCAAAGUGGGGAGUGGGGGGUGUGCUGAGAAACACAGGGGUGGGGAGAUAAUAGUUUGUUUUUUUUUAAUUAAAAAAAAGAAGAGAGUUGGUAGUGUUGAAGUUAGAGGUGUAGCAUUUAUGACCCCCAAACAUGUAGCGUAUUAGUGCAGCAAACCCUUUCUGAUUGUUUAUUGUCAUUAGGUGUUUUGAGAUGAUGUUGAGGAGGGGGGUGGGGUAGUGACAGUGUAAUGAUUAAAUUUGGCUUUUUUUUUUAUCAAAUUUCCUUGUCCUCCUCCCCUCCUCCUCAUCAUCAUCAUGAAGGUUGUCUUAAUUAUUAAGCAGAUGCAAGAAGAGGGUAGGAGAAAAGAGGAAACAGCUACAACAAGGCGCUUCCGAUUCUGACUCUAAACUGCUGGCCCUUCGACCCCCGCCCACACUAACAAUUGCCUGUGACGACCCCCACCUUCCAUUCAAGUACUGGGGGUUGCAGUAAAAAGUAGCUGAACUGGACAUUUUAAGUUGAGAUAAAGGUGUUUUUUUUUAUUUUCCUACAGACAUGAUAGCCCCACCCACAAGUACAUAGGCUAGAUUAUCAAAUAUUCACAUACACA